GGCCUAUUAGCUCAGUUGGUUAAAGCGUUGUGCUAAUAACUUGAAAGUCAUAGGUUCGAUUCUUGCUUGGACCA
rfam:Glycine max cultivar Williams 82 chromosome 17, whole genome shotgun sequence.